rnacentral:rRNA from 1 species
UACGUAGGGGGCGAGCGUUGUCCGGAUUUAUUGGGCGUAAAACGCUUGUAGGUGGCUACGUCAAGUCGGACGUGAAAUCUCCCGGCUUAACUGGGAGGGGUCGCUCGAUACUGGCGAGCUCGAGGCAGGUAGGGGGAAGCGGAAUUCCCGGUGUAGUGGUGGAAUGCGUAGGUAUCGGGAGGAACACCAGUGGCGAAGGCGGCUUCCUGGACCUGUUCUGACACUGAGGAGCGAAAGCGUGGGGAGCGAUCCGG